rnacentral:rRNA from 1 species
GGUCAGGACGAACGCUGGCGGCGUGCCUAACACAUGCAAGUCGAGCGAGGAGAUCCUCGGGAUGAUCCUAGCGGCGGACGGGUGAGUAACACGUGGGCAACCUGCCUCAUAGAGAGGAAUAGCCUUCCGAAAGGGAGAUUAAUACCUCAUAACAUUGCAGUUUCGCAUGGAACAGCAAUUAAAGGAGCAAUCCACUAUGAGAUGGGCCCGCGGCGCAUUAGCUAGUUGGUGAGGUAACGGCUCACCAAGGCGACGAUGCGUAGCCGACCUGAGAGGGUGAUCGGCCACAUUGGGACUGAGACACGGCCCAGACUCCUACGGGAGGCAGCAGUGGGGAAUAUUGCACAAUGGGGGAAACCCUGAUGCAAGCAACGCCGCGUGAGUGAUGACGGCCUUCGGGUUGUAAAGCUCUGUCUUCAGGGACGAUAAUGACGGUACCUGAGGAGGAAGCCACGGCUAACUACGUGCCAGCCGCUGC